rnacentral:misc_RNA from 1 species
UAUUUUUCUUUAUUUUUUCUGCAUAUAUGCGUAGUCAAAUUACCAAAAUCGUUCAAAGUGGAAAAAGCGAAUCCAUAUAGUCGACUCCAAAUUUUUUGGAUAAAGGCUUAUGUGUAGUCAAAUUACCUUACCUAACGGUUUAUGGGGUUUCAUAUGAUGAACAUGCACUGGGCUCUGAGCAAGCUGUUCACAGCUAGCUAUAUUGAUGCAUAUUUGCAGCCUAGAAAGCUAUAUCUGAUCUGAUCUCCUGUGCUUAAAUCAAUUUUAGGUU